GGGAGGCGAAGCUGAGAAGUGGAGCAAACCCCAAAAAAGCCAUCCCAGUUCGGAUUGUACUCUGCAACCCGAGUACAUGAAGCUGGAAUCGCUAGUAAUCGCGAAUCAGAAUGUCGCGGUGAAUACGUUCCCGGGUCUUGUACACACCGCCCGUCACACCAUGGGAGAUGGAUAUGCCCAAAGUCAGUGACCUAACCGCAAGGGAGGAGCUGCCUAAGGUGGAGCCAUUAACUGGGGUGAAGUCGUAACAAGGUACC
rnacentral:rRNA from 1 species